rnacentral:rRNA from 1 species
AUGCUGGAUGAUAUCGUUGAGCAAACAAAAGAUGAUGAUGAAGACGAGGAUAUUGUCUUUCUUGAUGAUGAUAAUAAAACCAAAAAGAGGAGCAAGAAGCGGAAGAGAGAUAAAAUAGUGCAAACUGGUUGCAAAGCUAAGAUGGUUGUCAAACUGAUAGAUGGCAGAUGGGAAGUGAUAUAUUUUGUUGGCGAGCACAACCAUCCACUAGUUGACAAACCAAGUUUGACUAAGUACUUGAGAUCGCACCAAGGUAUCCCACCAGAAGAAAAGGCAUUCCUUACCCACCUACAUAACUGCAACUUGACAACAGUAUUUGCCUGCUCUUGA